rnacentral:rRNA from 1 species
UACGUAGGUGGCAAGCGUUGUUCGGAGUUACUGGGCGUAAAGGGUGCGUAGGCGGCUUUUUAAGUUUGGUGUGAAAUCUCCCGGCUCAACUGGGAGGGUGCGCCGAAUACUGAGAAGCUAGAGUGUGGGAGAGGAAAGUGGAAUUCCUGGUGUAGCGGUGAAAUGCGUAGAUAUCAGGAGGAACACCUGUGGCGAAAGCGGCUCACUGGACCAUAACUGACGCUGAUGCACGAAAGCUAGGGGAGCAAACAGG